UUGUAUUUGCAUCAGACAUCAACUGAAUUUCGAGUUAAAAUCUAUCUUGCAGCAUGAAGAACUUUUUGGUGAUUUUUGCAGUUUUCUUCGCACUGAUGGCGCUUACCAGUGCCAUGCCGCAGCAAGGAGCCGAGGAAGGUGUGGUGUUGCCCCAGGAGAAUGACAUUUGCAAACCCGAGGAGUGCGACAAGUUCUGCAAAGAGCUCAAGUUUAAGAGUGGCGCGUGUGAUGGUGACUGGUGCGUUUGCACACCUUAAACGAUGUUCUAUAUCCAGACAAUAAAGGCUAUAUUGCAUUGUGA